rnacentral:rRNA from 1 species
UCAGGAUGAACGCUAGCUACAGGCUUAACACAUGCAAGUCGAGGGGCAGCGGGAUCUAGCUUGCUAGAUUUGCCGGCGACCGGCGCACGGGUGAGUAACGCGUAUCCAACUUCCCCUUAGUAGGGCAUAGCCCGUAGAAAUGCGGAUUAAUACCCUAUGUUGUUCGAUGCGGACAUCUAAGUUGAACCAAAGGUUUACCGCUAAGGGAUGGGGAUGCGUCCGAUUAGGCAGCAGGCGGGGUAACGGCCCACCUGGCCGACGAUCGGUAGGGGUUCUGAGAGGAAGGUCCCCCACAUUGGAACUGAGACACGGUCCAAACUCCUACGGGAGGCAGCAGUGAGGAAUAUUGGUCAAUGGGCGCGAGCCUGAACCAGCCAAGUAGCGUGACCAGGACGACGGCCCUAUGGGUUGUAAACUGCUUUUAUGCGGGGAUAAAGUGCGGCACGCGUGCCGUUUUGUAGGUACCGCAUGAAUAAGGACCGGCUAAUUCCGUGCCAGCCGCAGC